rnacentral:ncRNA from 1 species
AUAGGGGAAGCCGAAAACCUUCAGAGUAGGCA